CUAAGUUCUCUUGAUUUCAUACUGCUGUGCUUGUGAUUCUUUAAAUUAGCUGAAGCUGAGCUGGCUGCAGCUAAUGGAUAGUUGCUGUGAGCAUGCUUAUGCCCUUAGUAGGUCUGAAACGAGAUGGGUUGUGGAGGAUAUUUCUAUUUUCUGAGUAGACUCAACAGAGAAAUCCAAACACCUCUCUGUGAAGUGUUUUUGGAGUUGAUCCCCUGCUGAAAGUCUCCUCUAAGUUCUUUGCUGUUGCCCAGCCAACACCUGAGGGAUCACAAACGAACCUGGGAGUAAGUAAUUAAAAUUCAAAGCUUUAACAUUCAGAUACUUUUUACACUUUCUUUUGCUUCCAACUAGCAUUUUUUUUUCCAGGCAAGCUUUUAAUUAACAGGUGAGUUUAAUUGAUAUGUGAGUUGUUUUUAUUUUUUUUAAAUGGAAAGGAUAUCAGUGAGAAGUAAGGGAGGAAUUUUUCAUUCUCACGUUUUG
rnacentral:lncRNA from 1 species